rnacentral:lncRNA from 1 species
GGAAGUGACAAGAUUUCUGCACCGAGAUUUUCCUUGGUCAAGAAUGCAACAUGAGCUGUGGAUAUGAACUUUACUGUCAGAUGAACUUUGGAAGUGACAAGAUUUCUGCGCAAAGAUUUUUCUUGGUCAAGAGUGCAACAUGAGCUGUAGAUAUG